GGGAGCAUAGCUCAGCUGGUUAGAGCACCUGCCUUACAAGCAGGGGGUCACAGGUUCGAGUCCUGUUGUUCCCACCA
rnacentral:tRNA from 2 species